rnacentral:lncRNA from 10 species
CACCAAUCAAGCAGCUGUCUUCUUUCCCGUGUCUAAUCAGACAAGGGUCAUCUGUCACAGAACUAUCCAAUCAGCAUUAAGGUGCCGAGUACAAAAGGCUGCUCAAAGAGAGAGUUUUUCUGACCAACAACAUUCUACUUUAUUGAGGAUUUGGAUGUGAGAGAGAUAUAUAUAUGGAAAGCUGACAUUUGGCUGUGGGAGCAGAAGUAAAAAGAGACACGGCGAGACGGACCUGAGAACCAGUUUCCAGACCCUAUUUAUUGAUGACACUGUCCUCUCCUAAUUGUGUGUAUUUUGCACCUUUUUCAAAAAUCAAUGGACUAUAAAUGGGAAAAAUUCCCCCAGCAUAGACUGGUGAAAAGACAGAGGGCUCUGGAAUUAAUCAAGCUGGGUUUCUGCUUCAGUUUUGUCCCUCAUAGUUACUCCUCUGGGUUAUAAAGACUGUGACUUCUGCCUUGCUGAUAUUCUCUCUCCCUGGGUCAUCUCCUGUGCUUGCUUUGAUGGAAAGACCUACCAGGAAAGCCUCUUGCAAACAGCCAGCAACAAAGUGAGGUUCUCAGUCCAGUAGCUUGUGAGAAACUGUAUCAUGCUAGCAACCAUGGAGUGAAAUUGGAAGUGGAUGCUACUUCAGUUGAAUGUUAAGAUGACUGCAGCCUGGGCUGACACCGUAAUAACAGUCUCAUGAAGACUCUGAGGCAGAGGACCCACCUAGAUGAACUGUGCCUGAAUUCUUGACCUACAAAAACUGAAGCUACCAAAGGGCGCUGGAUUGAUGGUGUCACCUACUGACCAAAAUCCAAACCACCAGGACACAAUCACCUCCUCUCUGGGGCUCUCAAAGUCAGUACACAGGAAUUAUCAACGAAUUUCACCCUUCACCCAGUUUCAAUGAGCUCACCUAUGAAUGUAAACUAGAAAUCACAAGUCCCAUGUGAGAAGAAAAGACCUGGGGAGCCAUGUGAGAUUUCCCAGUUUCUUCCUGCUUGGUAAGAGUGGGGAUGAAGUGAGGAGACAACAUCCUUAUCAAUGUCUGACUUCUAUACUUUUCAGUCCUUAAGGCUUUGCUUUCAAUCUGCCCUGUGGGGAUCCCCGAGAAAUCUUGGAAGCUGUGUUACUGGCGAUGAUGGGACAAGAGAUUGGACACACCUCGUUAUACCCCCUCGUCACUAACUGACAUUAAGUAUUGCUUCUUAUGGAUUAAACAGAAACGAGCCAUUCUGAAAGACUCCACACCAAUAUCAACAAACUCCCUGAUGCUUUCCCUCCCUGUCUGCAGUUUCAACACAACUAACCAGUACUUCUCUCUUAUAAGACCAUCAACCACUGAGUGGUUCUGGCAAGUCUAUGGAGGAUGCACAGUGAGGUUUUUUUUUGUGUCCUGUUUUUCACCUUUUGACAUCAGAGGGCCAAAAUCUCUACCCUCAAAUCAUGCUAAUGCUGCCAUGGGACCCAUGGAGAGGCAUGAAGCUCAAUUGUACAUAUGCAUGCUUGUCCUUUCAUAAAUAUGCAUUACUCCUCUUAUAGCUUAUGAAUAUGCAUAUUUGGCCACCCCAUUCAGCAUAAAUCCCUGUCUUGUUCUCCCAAUCCUUGAAGUGCCUGUUUAUAGCCUCUAGGCCAGAGACUAUGCUUCCCAGCCUGUCAGAAUGGCCACCCUGCAGACUGCAAGCCAUUAUGAGAAAUAAAGCACUCUUUUUAAAAUUUAUGAACCUUGUCAUUCUUCAGUUGACAGUUUUAAGCUGAUAGAAAGAACUAUUAGUACUACUUUUAUGCUUAACAUUACAAAAUGUUUUUCUUUGUAGGAGGGAAAUCACAGGUAAAAUACAUCUUCAAAGGCAACCUAAAAUAGAAACAGU